AGUAUUAUUUCCUUCAUUCACUUCAGUGGAAAUCAAAUCAGGUCCUAGGACAGGCAGAAACUUGACAUACCUGAGCUAAAUUCGCAGUUAGACUGUAUCAAUAGAAGUCCUUCUCUAUCUUUGUGUCCAGUCCAUGCCAAGCACAAAUAAACUUGCUUUAAAAGAACAGAAGUGGGAAAAAUGUGCAGCAGACUGAAUUAAUGGGAUUACAGCACUGCUGCGGAGGAGGACACACCUGUACAAGCCCAGUCCUGCAGGCAGCUGAGCACCAUCCACUCGCAGUGAAGUGAAAAAUUCCCGUCACUUAUUUCCAAGGAGAUGCUCAGCAGCUUGUGUGAGGGGCCUUUGGGACAGACUAGGUUCUUUUCUGAUCUAGUUACAUUAAUGAAUAAAGUACAGUAAAUAAAUAGCAAAGAUAGAAACCACUUUUCCGUACUGAUCUAUUUUUUGUUCCUUUGCUUUUGGUUUGGAAAAAAAACCCAACAUCCUGUUGUGGUGCUGGUGAUUCACGAUGGACUGAAGAAGCUAUGUAUACUAGUAUUUACCCAUUGCUGAAUAACAGGUCAUCAGUUUCUCUCUGGAUAUUUUGGGUACAUUUGUCUCCAGAUCAAUUUUCACUUCUAAUUUAUUGACAGAUGACACCUGAAAUCUUCAUCAAGUGGAUUUUAGAAUGAUUUCUUUUAAAAGCUUUGACUUCAGGUCAUAAAUCUUGUCAUUAAAUAUACUGCAUUAUUUAGGGUAAGAGGACUCCUCCCCAGUCUUUCAGACUUUAAUUUCCGAUUUUGAGACAACAGAGGACAUUUUAGACUAUCUUCAGGAUCUAUAGUAAGGCUUCUGUCAUGCUUCUCAAAGCACAAUAUGCUAAAAUGGCUGUAUUCUCUACAGCUGUGUAAUUACGAAGCUAGCCAAGAAGAAGAGGAGUAGAUCUUUGCUCAUCUGUAUUGUGCAAGCGACCUCUUCUAUUAGCACCUAGCAAACAGGAAAAUCUUUCUGUGGCCAACAAAUUAAGAUGGUGCUGUUUACAAAAUGAGGGGAUUGAGUUCUCAAUUUAAUGCGUACAAAGGCAAUACGGACUGACAGAAGUUCUCUAGAACAGAGACAAAACAAUGAAAUAAAUCUCCUUUCUGGGAUGUUUCCA
rnacentral:lncRNA from 1 species